UUGAACGCUGGCGGCAUGCUUUACACAUGCAAGUCGAACGGCAGCGGGGGCUUCGGCCCGCCGGCGAGUGGCGAACGGGUGAGUAAUGCAUCGGAACGUACCCAGUCGUGUGGGAUAACUACGCGAAAGCGUAGCUAAUACCGCAUACGCCCUGAGGGGGAAAGCGGGGGACCUUCGGGCCUCGCGCGAUUGGAGCGGCUGAUGUCGGAUUAGCUAGUUGGUGGGGUAAAGGCCUACCAGGGCGACGAUCUGUAGCGGGUCUGAGAGGAUGAUCCGCCACACUGGGACUGAGACACGGCCCAGACUCCUACGGGAGGCAGCAGUGGGGAAUUUUGGACAAUGGGCGCAAGCCUGAUCCAGCCAUGCCGCGUGCGGGACGAAGGCCUUCGGGUUGUAAACCGCUUUCAGCCGGAAAGAAAUCGUCAAGGCUAAUAUCCUUGAUGGAUGACGGUACCGGAAGAAGAAGCACCGGCUAACUACGU
rnacentral:rRNA from 1 species